CGAACGCUGGCGGCGCGCCUAACACAUGCAAGUCGAACGGAGCUGUUUUCUCUGAAGUUUUCGGAUGGAAGAGAGUUCAGCUUAGUGGCGAACGGGUGAGUAACACGUGAGCAACCUGCCUUUCAGUGGGGGACAACAUUUGGAAACGAAUGCUAAUACCGCAUAAGACCACAGUGUCGCAUGGCACAGGGGUCAAAGGAUUUAUCCGCUGAAAGAUGGGCUCGCGUCCGAUUAGCUAGAUGGUGAGGUAACGGCCCACCAUGGCGACGAUCGGUAGCCGGACUGAGAGGUUGAACGGCCACAUUGGGACUGAGACACGGCCCAGACUCCUACGGGAGGCAGCAGUGGGGAAUAUUGCACAAUGGGGGAAACCCUGAUGCAGCGACGCCGCGUGGAGGAAGAAGGUCUUCGGAUUGUAAACUCCUGUCCCAGGGGACGAUAAUGACGGUACCCUGGGAGGAAGCACCGGCUAACUACGUGCCAGCAGCCGCGGUAAAACGUAGGGUGCAAGCGUUGUCCGGAAUUACUGGGUGUAAGGGGAGCGCAGGCGGAUUGGCAAGUUGGGAGUGAAAUCUAUGGGCUCAACCCAUAAAUUGCUUUCAAAACUGUCAGUCUUGAGUGGUGUAGAGGUAGGCGGAAUUCCCGGUGUAGCGGUGGAAUGCGUAGAUAUCGGGAGGAACACCAGUGGCGAAGGCGGCCUACUGGGCACUAACUGACGCUGAGGCUCGAAAGCAUGGGUAGCAAACAGGAUUAGAUACCCUGGUAGUCCAUGCCGUAAACGAUGAUUACUAGGUGUGGGAGGAUUGACCCCUUCCGUGCCGCAGUUAACACAAUAAGUAAUCCACCUGGGGAGUACGACCGCAAGGUUGAAACUCAAAGGAAUUGACGGGGGCCCGCACAAGCAGUGGAGUAUGUGGUUUAAUUCGAAGCAACGCGAAGAACCUUACCAGGUCUUGACAUCGGAUGCAUACCUAAGAGAUUAGGGAAGUCCUUCGGGACAUCCAGACAGGUGGUGCAUGGUUGUCGUCAGCUCGUGUCGUGAGAUGUUGGGUUAAGUCCCGCAACGAGCGCAACCCUUAUCGUUAGUUACUACGCAAGAGGACUCUAGCGAGACUGCCGUUGACAAAACGGAGGAAGGUGGGGAUGACGUCAAAUCAUCAUGCCCUUUAUGACCUGGGCUACACACGUACUACAAUGGCUAUUAACAGAGGGAAGCAAGACAGCGAUGUGGAGCAAACCCCUAAAAACAUUCUCAGUUCAGAUUGCAGGCUGCAACCCGCCUGCAUGAAGAUGGAAUUGCUAGUAAUCGCGGAUCAGCAUGCCGCGGUGAAUACGUUCCCGGGCCUUGUACACACCGCCCGUCACACCAUGGGAGCCGGUAAUACCCGAAGUCAGUAGUCCAACCUCGUGAGGACGCUGCCGAAGGUAGGAUUGGCGACUGGGGUG
rnacentral:rRNA from 1 species